rnacentral:tRNA from 1 species
GGCGGGAUGCCCGAGUGGCCAAAGGGAGCGGCCUGUAAAGUCGUCGGCUCAGCCUACGGAGGUUCGAAUCCUCCUCCCGCCA